CGGGGAGUAGCUCAGUUGGUAGAGCCUCAGCUUUGGGAGCUGAGCGUCGCGGGUUCGAGUCCCGCCUUCCCGA
rnacentral:tRNA from 1 species